AGGGGCGAGAGAGGUUGGUGGGGCACGUGGGAAAGGGGGACCUGGAGGGGAGGGGCGCCUGAAACUCGGGGCUGUGGCCCAGCGUAGACUAGCCCCCCCUACACAGACACACAAACAUGCCCCUGGCCCAGCGGGCCCUCCAGGAGGAAUUCGAGUGUGAGAAGACCUCUGUGCCAUAGAAAAGGAGAAUGUGGGCUGGAGUUCAAAGAGGAAGAAUGAUUGGCACCUUCUGGGCAUUUCCAAUUACUGUAGAUCCUCAGGCACUAAAAAUGUGAUGAACUAACCUACUGUAUCAUGAGGUCAUGUGAAUUAA
rnacentral:lncRNA from 1 species